GACGAACGCUGGCGGCGUGCUUAACACAUGCAAGUCGAACGGUAAGGCCCUUCGGGGUACACGAGUGGCGAACGGGUGAGUAACACGUGGGUGAUCUGCCCUGCACUUCGGGAUAAGCCUGGGAAACUGGGUCUAAUACCGGAUAGGACCACUGCCUGCAUGGGUGGUGGUGGAAAGCUUUUGCGGUGUGGGAUGGGCCCGCGGCCUAGCGGCUUGUUGGUGGGGUGAUGGCCUACCAAGGGGACGACGGGUGGCCGGCCUGAGAGGGUGACCGGCCACACUGGGGCUGAGAUACGGCCCAGACUCCUACGGGAGGCAGCAGUGGGGAAUAUUGCACAAGGGGCGCAAGCCUGAUGCAGCGACGCCGCGUGAGGGAUGACGGCCUUGGGGUUGUAAACCUCUUUCAGCACCGACGAAGCGCAAGUGACGGUAGGUGCAGAAGAAGGACCGGCCAACUACGUGCCAGCAGCCGCCGUAA
rnacentral:rRNA from 1 species